UAGGGAAUCUUCCGCAAUGGACGCAAGUCUGACGGAGCAACGCCGCGUGAGUGAAGAAGGAUUUCGGUUCGUAAAACUCUGUUGUUAGAGAAGAACAGCGCAUAGAGUAACUGUUAUGCGUGUGACGGUAUCAAACCAGAAAGCCACGGCUAACUACGUGCCAGCAGCCGCGGUAAUACGUAGGUCCCGAGCGUUGUCCGGAUUUAUUGGGCGUAAAGCGAGCGCAGGCGGUUAGAUAAGUCUGAAGUUAAAGGCAGUGGCUCAACCAUUGUAGGCUUUGGAAACUGUUUAACUUGAGUGCAGAAGGGGAGAGUGGAAUUCCAUGUGUAGCGGUGAAAUGCGUAGAUAUAUGGAGGAACACCGGUGGCGAAAGCGGCUCUCUGGUCUGUAACUGACGCUGAGGCUCGAAAGCGUGGGGAGCGAACAGG
rnacentral:rRNA from 1 species